CUGGCACCAAACCAGCUGUUAAUCUGCAGAAAAUGCAUUAAAAGACAGUAGGACAAAUUCUGGUCCUGGCUGCAUUGGUGCUGCCUCCUGGGCUUUGGUGAAGUCCCACUGAUAUAAUUGAGAGUAGAAGCUGCAGUGACUCUUGCAAACAUUUUUAAAAUGAUAAGAGCUGGAUGACUUUUUCCAACGCCAUUUGGGUGGUGGUGAAGAAAAUUGUGUCUGACCCUUGAUGUCAAAUGUGGGUCCACUUCCUAGAAUAGGCCCUAUAGGUUGGGGGAAAGGAAAUCACAGUCAUCUCAUGUUAUGAGCUCAAAAUAGAGCUAGAUUUCCAGACAAAAUGCCCAUGUGACUUGAGAUAGACAUAGAGAAAGAAUGUGAGUAAUGAGGAGAUGAGUGCUGUGACCUUGUCUCUGCGGCUGUGCAUAUGCUUGUGUGAGUCACCCCCUGCUAAAGACUAGCCUGUUCAUUGUCAUAAUCUCAAGAUUAGAGACAGACACCACUUCCCUAAAACAUAAGCUGCAGGGGAAUUUUGCAAGGAAUACUGGGGAUGCUGUUAU